GGUAAUUUGAUAUUAUUAGGUGCCCGUGAGGGCGUAAAUGGCAAGAUCGGUGUAAAUCCGACACGGUCCCGCCACUGUAAUAACGCUGAGGCGUUUAAGUCAGGUGCCUGCCUAUGUGUGAAAGCUGUA
rnacentral:ncRNA from 2 species